UUAAGAGCAGGUUAGACAAACACUUGUCAAGAAUGGUCUAGAUAAUACUUAGUCCUACCACAAGUGCAGGAGCCUAGAGUAGAUUACCUGUCUAGGUCCCUUCCAGUUCUAUGAUUUUAUUUGUAAAUCAGUGUCAGGAUGAGUUACUUCUAACAGGGCCCCAACUAAAGAUUAUAUAUGACAAUAUGUCCCAUAAUUCCAGCAUAAUCCAUUUGAAAGUGACCCAAAGGAACAACUCUAUUUCUGAGAUGAUCCUUCAAGGCUUAUUUAUUUAUUUAUAGGCAGUUUCUAUUCCCUCCCCCAUCCCAUCUCUCACUGAUUUUGAAACAUGUGCUUCAGCUAAUUCACACAUUUAUUUUGGCACAGUUCAUCCUAGUAGAGAGCCUGUAAGAGGCUCUAUGUACACCCAAUACAUGAUGUACAGGUACACGAUCUCUUGCCACUCAGGUGAAUUUCACCAUCAACCUUUUUGAUAAAUACAAAUCUUUAGUAUGAUAUUGAUCAAUAAAAGAAGAAAGAAUUUAAUGUCUGAUCAUGAACAGUGUUGAGCAUGCCUAACUGCCAUUCAAUACAAGCUGAAGGUGCUCCACAUGUUGCAGGAUCAGCUUGUAACAGCGUUAUUAGCUUGGUAUUAUACAAACUUCCCUACAUAAUUCCACCAAAGCACCAAAAUCCUGACAUGUCUUAUGUCAGACUGCGUAGUGGCUUGGCAACGUGUACAACUUGGAGGAAUCUAUUAAACUUAUUCUAUCCAAGGGCUUGUGUACACUACCACGCGGGGUCAAUCUAAGAUAUGCAACUUCAGCUACAUGAAGAGCGCAGCUGAAGUCGAUGUACUUAGAUCUACUUACCGUGUCGUUGUCACUGCGGUAAGUCAAAGCUGACGCUCUCCCAUCAACUCCGCUUGCGCACCUCGUUUUGGAGGAGUACCGGAGUCGACAGGAGAGCGCUCAGUGGUCGAUUUAUCGUGUCUCUCUAGUAGAUGUGAUAAAUCGACUCCCGCUGGAUCGAUCACUUCCCGCCGAUCUGGCGGGCAGUGUAGACAAGCCCUAAGACCUAAAUCAGGAUUGUAAGCCACAUUCUAAUGCAUCAACUCAAUGAGCCAUAUAACUCCCCAGAAUUUUUCUAGUUAAACACACACAAACUGGUUUGUCACAUGGAGUUUAGGAAUCACUAGUCAAGGUGACCAAUACAUUUUUGUUCAUUCCUUAUCACUCACAAAGGUGGAAAUCUCUACAAGAUUUUCUUGCACGAAGAUCAUUUACCUAUGAGCAGACAAUAAAUGCAUCUAACACUGCAGCAUAAAUGCCAAAAAAAUGGAAAAAGAGUGAUCUGCAAAAAUCACUACUUUUAAUAAUUUUUAUAUUUUUAAAGAUUAUGUAUAUCAUACCAAUAUUAUUUGUAUUUUCUUCCAUUUCCCUCUUAUGUUUCAGAUACAUAGGCCAUACAUGUCCAUCGAAGUAUCCUGGUGGAUCUGCUGGUUGAUAAAUUCUGGUACUACAGAAAAAUAUUUGCUUUCUUUUGCAAGUUUUACAUUUUUUUUUCUGGGGUGCUCACAUAUACCCAUCAUUGUUUAUUUAGUAUGAAUAUCUACCCAAAAUAUUAAGAGAGAGGGAGGCUGUAUAUCUGCUGGUCACAGCAAAGGAGACUCCUUAAUUAUAACAGGAUUUAGCAUAUUGCCCACAUGACCUCUAUCAAAUCACCUAUUUCUGCCUAUCAUUUCAAUUACAAAACAGCAGAUUCUUAUUGAAACAGAUGUUGCAUCUUAAACAAACUUCAUUGCAUAAGUAAGUUACAUAAGAAUAG